rnacentral:rRNA from 1 species
AUGACCCCCGCCGCCGGCCGCCCAUCUCCUCCGGUCGCGACCCUCCUCGGCCGCUGCCGUACUCUUCGCUGCCUCGCCCAGCUCCACGCCCGCAUUGUUCGCCUUGGCCUCCACAACCACCACGCCCUCCUCGCGCGCUUCACCGCGGCCUGCGACUCCCUCGCCUCCCCCUCCGUCGCCGACUCCUUCCUCUCGGCUCUCCCUUCCCACGCCGUCCCGCUCAGCCUCCGCAACGCCGUCCUCGCCUCACACUCCCGCCAUUCCCCGCUCCACGCUGCGCUUGCGCAGUUCAAUAUCGUCCGCCGCAUCACCUGCCCCGACGCAUUCUCUUUCCCUUCCCUCCUCCGCGCGUGCUCCCGCGUACCCUGCAAACCCACUGGCUCCGCUUUGCACGCUGCAGCCAUACGCCUCGGCCUGGAUGCCGACCUCUUCGUCCGCACAGCGCUCAUCCAGUUCUACGGAAGCUGCAGCUCUGCUGGCGCAUCCCGGAUGCUUUUCGACUCAAUGGUCAUUCCCAGUGAGGUUUCCUGGACUGCCAUUAUCAUGGUCUACGUCGACUGUGGUGACAUCGUGUCUGCACGGGAGCUUUUUGACCGAAUGCCACAUAGGAACGUGGUUCAUUGGAACGCCAUGGUUGGUGGGUACGUGAAGUGCGGGGACUUGGAGAGUGCAAGGAGGCUGUUCGAAGAAAUGCCCCAAAGAACUGCUUCAGCGCACACAUCAUUGAUCGGUGGGUAUGCAAAGGUAGGAAAUAUGCAAGUUGCGAAAAUGUUGUUCGAUAAGUUACACGACCGGGAUGUGUUCUCAUGGUCAGCGAUGAUAUCAGGCUAUGCACAGAAUGGUUAUCCUGGAGAGGCUUUAAGGGUUUUUAAUGAGUUCCGUGAGAAAGAAAUAUGCCCAGACGAGCUUGUUAUUGUUGCUAUGAUGACAGCGUGCUCCCAACUGGGUAACAUCAUGUUGGCAAAAUGGAUUGAAGGUUACAUCACGACUUAUUCCAUAGAUAUGAACAAUGCCCAUGUGUUGGCAGGUCUCAUAAACAUGAAUGCAAAGUGUGGGAACAUGGAGAGGGCUACUGUUUUAUUUGAGUCCAUGCCAGUUCGAGAUGUGUUCUCAUACUGUUCGAUGAUGCAAGGUCAUUGCCUCCAUGGUUCAGCUAACAAGGCUGUUGAGCUUUUCUCUAGGAUGCUCUUGGAGGGCCUCUCCCCAGAUAAUGCUGUGUUUACAGUUGUUUUGACAGCUUGCAAUCAUGCUGGCCUAGUAGAAGAAGGGAAAAAGUACUUUGCUAUGAUGAAGAAUGAGUAUUUGAUUAUGCCAUCUGGCGAUCACUAUGCUUGCCUUGUCAGUCUUCUCGGGCGUUCUGGGAUGGUGAGAGAUGCAUAUGAGCUUAUUAAGUCAAUGCCAGGAAAACCUCACCCGGGAUCAUGGGGUGCAUUGUUGCGUGGAUGCAUACUCCAAGGUGAUAUUGAGCUUGGAAAAGUUGCAGCAAGGAAGCUUUUUGAAAUUGAACCAGAUAAUGCUGGAAAUUAUGUUACCCUGUCAAACAUUUAUGCUAACAUUGACAGAUGGGCCGAUGUUUCUGAAGUUAGAGCUGAAAUGACUGGAAAGGGGUUAACAAAAAUAGCAGGUCGAACCGUUGUUCUACAGUAA